CUACACUUUAGUAAUCACAACCUAAAUAUUGGCAUAUGGCUCCUUGAGCCUUUUCCCUGAACCCGGAACAGGACGUUCCGGGUCUUUUUUU
rnacentral:sRNA from 1 species